AACGUAGGUUCCGAGCGUUAUCCGGAUUUACUGGGCGUAAAGCGCGUUCAGGCGGUUUGGCAAGUCGGGCAUGAAAUCUCUCGGCUCAACCGGGAGAGGUUGUCCGAUACUGCUGGACUUGAGGGCAGUAGAGGGUGGUGGAAUUCCGGGUGUAGUGGUGAAAUGCGUAGAUAUCCGGAGGAACACCAGUGGCGAAAGCGGCCACCUGGACUGCACCUGACGCUGACACGCGAAAAGCUAGGGGAGCGAACGGG
rnacentral:rRNA from 1 species